UUAGGUAACUGCUCCCUCUAUAAAUAGCUCCCCUGUGCUUUUAGCACAGUACCUUUGGCUGCCCAAAAUACAAGGAACACCUUUUCCCCUUCUGCUCCUGUUGGCUUCGCAUUAAACAAAAAGUGAUGUGCUAGCCCUGCAUCCUACACCCUGCACCUUUAUUUCAUCUCUGAGAACCGUCGUGGCGGGUGUUCAUAAUAAAUGGCAAGAGUUGGACGGCCUCUCCCGAGGCAACCCUGUACAAAUUAAACACUAUUGUUGAAGAUGGUAGUGGUUCUACAAAUACCAUCUUCGGAAGAUUGGCACAAGAUUUGAUUCACAUCCCAGCUCAAAACUUAGCUACUUCAGUUGGUUCAGAUAAAUUUACUCUUCAUCCUCUAAUUAAAUUAAUUAUUGGACAAAAGUAUAUUUUUCAAAUUGUUCCUGAUCUACACAGGUUUAGAACAAGUGCUCCUUCUUUUAAAGUGCUUAAAAUUUUUAACGAAAAUGUAUUAAUCAAAAGUGAAAAGGAACUGCCUUCUCCUACUUCUCAAAAUGAAAUUUCCAAAGAAACAGUUGCAGACGGAUCACCAACCACAUGUACUUCAUCAAGCUCUCUAAUACUUGAUGGUGAUUUAAAUGCAAUUCGGACAGCGAAAAAACGACGACUUAUUUUAGAUGAAGCUCCCUCUACAGAUGAAGACAAAAUGUGAAGGAUUACAUUUAAUACUGCAUUUUGCUCUUGCAUUAUGCUGAAAUACUAUUUCCAAUAAUGUUGUAUCCCUACACUGUAUUGUACGUGCUGACGUGACGUUGUAUUAAAACUUUCUGCUAUCAUUUUAUCAAUACUACAUUUUAUUUUCCGUAUACCAUAAAUUUUUUCCUUAUUAUC